rnacentral:rRNA from 1 species
UGUGACGUUACCAAACUGUUGCCUCGGCGGGAUCUCUGCCCCGGGUGCGUCGCAGCCCCGGACCAAGGCGCCCGCCGGAGGACCAACCAAAACUCUUUUUGUAUACCCCCUCGCGGGUUUUUUAUAAUCUGAGCCUUCUCGGCGCCUCUCGUAGGCGUUUCGAAAAUGAAUCAAAACUUUCAACAACGGAUCUCUUGGUUCUGGCAUCGAUGAAGAACGCAGCGAAAUGCGAUAAGUAAUGUGAAUUGCAGAAUUCAGUGAAUCAUCGAAUCUUUGAACGCACAUUGCGCCCGCCAGUAUUCUGGCGGGCAUGCCUGUCCGAGCGUCAUUUCAACCCUCGAACCCCUCCGGGGGGUCGGCGUUGGGGAUCGGCCCUGCCUUUGGCGGUGGCCGUCUCCGAAAUACAGUGGCGGUCUCGCCGCAGCCUCUCCUGCGCAGUAGUUUGCACACUCGCAUCGGGAGCGCGGCGCGUCCACAGCCGUUAAACACCCAACUUCUGAAAUGUUGACCUCGGAUCAGGUAGGAAUACCCGCUGAACUUAAGCAUAUCAAUA